UCUCUCUCUCUCUCUCUCUCUCUCUCUCUCUCUCUCUCUCUUUCACCGACUUCAUCUGCAACAUUUAAAGAAAUAUUUCUGAAGAAUAUUGGUCCACUGAGAGUCACUCUCAUCAAAAACAACUGGCAACUGGCAAUGAGAUUAUUAAGCUAGUGAUGAAUUGCAAGAAUGGUCCAUAGCGCAGAAGCAUGGUGAAGGCAAUUGGAGAAACAAAGCAGAUGUGAUCAUUCUCACUGCACACAAAAGGGCACAUUGUGCUUAAAAAAUUGAAGACGACCACCACAUUUUUUUAGUGGCUACUUUAAAUCAUCUUCUGCUUUGGAUAUGUGGAGACCAUGUGCUUUUAUCUUGUGCAAUAUAAACUAUUUAUAUAAAUGUCUCGCUUUUCACUAUCUUUUUCAUUUUUUUCCUCUCUUUAUGGGGCAAAAUGAAAAAAAAAAAAAAAAAAAGCUGAUCUAAAAGCUACAACCAUGCAAAUAAUUAAAUUAUUACAGCAAAUGUGUGUAUUAAGAAGAGAUUGUUAGCCUCCCUAGCUACUGUAAUGUGUAUAUUUUGUUUAUUUGAUUUAUACAUUUUUUUUAUGAUUAUGAUUAUGAUUA